AAAUUACUUACCUUCUGGCCUCGACUUAUUUCGCAGCUCUGUUGUUGUCAGGCCGCGCAUGCGCAGGCACCGUCAACACUGUAUUAACAUCACGUUGGUAUGGUGUUGACGGCGGACAUGCACUGCCCUGCUUGUCCUAGAGAAGUUGCUGAAAGUCAGGUUGAAUGAUGGACAUCUGGACACCACGUCUCCAAAGACACAUUUUCUCACUGCAAAUAGCAGGAAUGUAGUGUAGUGGAAGCAGCACUGUAGAGCUUAUCAUCAGCAGGAAGCAGCCAGCUGUCGGAUGAGAGCAGUCAAACUUGUGGAAGAACUGUGUUAUGAAGAUGUGCAUCUCAAGCACAUUGGUGACAUCCUUGCGCUCAACGUCACGCAGCACGUCAAUGAACCACUCAAACUGGCGGUGUGUCGGGCAAAUCCACAGGAAGUACACCUAAUGAGGAG